rnacentral:rRNA from 1 species
AGGACGAACGCUGGCGGCGUGCCUAACACAUGCAAGUCGAGCGGUAAGGCUCCUUCGGGAGUACACGAGCGGCGAACGGGUGAGUAACACGUGAGCAAUCUGCCCUUCUCUUCGGAAUAACCAUUGGAAACGAUGGCUAAUGCCGAAUACGACCUCCUUUCGCAUGAUCGGAGGUGGAAAGCUCCGGCGGAGAAGGAUGAGCUCGCGGCCUAUCAGCUAGUGG